rnacentral:rRNA from 1 species
CAGGUGCUGCAUGGCUGUCGUCAGCUCGUGUCGUGAGAUGUUGGGUUAAGUCCCGCAACGAGCGCAACCCUGCCUUAGUUGCCAGCAGUUCGGCUGGGCACUCUAAAGGGACUGCCGGUGUUAAACCGGAGGAAGUGGGGAUGACGUCAAGUCCUCAUGGCCUUUAUGACCAGGGCUACACACGUACUACAAUGGCCGAUACAAAGGGCAGCGACACUGCGAGGUGAAGCCAAUCCCGUAAAAUCGGUCUCAGUCCGGAUUGGAGUCUGCAACUCGACUCCAUGAAGUUGGAAUCGCUAGUAAUCGUGGAUCAGCAUGCCACGGUGAAUACGUUCCCGGGCCUU